GGAGCACGUGAAAUUCCGUCGGAAUCUGGGAGGACCAUCUCCUAAGGCUAAAUACUCUCUAGUGACCGAUAGUGAACCAGUACCGUGAGGGAAAGGUGAAAAGCACCCCGGAAGGGGAGUGAAAUAGAACCUGAAACCGUGUGCUUACAAGUAGUCAGAGCCCGUUAAUGGGUGAUGGCGUGCCUUUUGUAGAAUGAACCGGCGAGUUACGAUUUGAUGCAAGGUUAAGCAGUAAAUGUGGAGCCGUAGCGAAAGCGAGUCUGAAUAGGGCGUUUAGUAUUUGGUCGUAGACCCGAAACCAGGUGAUCUACCCUUGGUCAGGUUGAAGUUCAGGUAACACUGAAUGGAGGACCGAACCGACUUACGUUGAAAAGUGAGCGGAUGAACUGAGGGUAGCGGAGAAAUUCCAAUCGAACCUGGAGAUAGCUGGUUCUCUCCGAAAUAGCUUUAGGGCUAGCCUCAAGUGAUGAUUAUUGGAGGUAGAGCACUGUUUGGACGAGGGGCCCCUCUCGGGUUACCGAAUUCAGACAAACUCCGAAUGCCAAUUAAUUUAACUUGGGAGUCAGAACAUGGGUGAUAAGGUCCGUGUUCGAAAGGGAAACAGCCCAGACCACCAGCUAAGGUCCCAAAAUAUAUGUUAAGUGGAAAAGGAUGUGGCGUUGCCCAGACAACUAGGAUGUUGGCUUAGAAGCAGCCAUCAUUUAAAGAGUGCGUAAUAGCUCACUAGUCGAGUGACACUGCGCCGAAAAUGUACCGGGGCUAAACAUAUUACCGAAGCUGUGGAUUGUCCUUUGGACAAUGGUAGGAGAGCGUUCUAAGGGCGUUGAAGCAUGAUCGUAAGGACAUGUGGAGCGCUUAGAAGUGAGAAUGCCGGUGUGAGUAGCGAAAGACGGGUGAGAAUCCCGUCCACCGAUUGACUAAGGUUUCCAGAGGAAGGCUCGUCCGCUCUGGGUUAGUCGGGUCCUAAGCUGAGGCCGACAGGCGUAGGCGAUGGAUAACAGGUUGAUAUUCCUGUACCACCUAUAAUCGUUUUAAUCGAUGGGGGGACGCAGUAGGAUAGGCGAAGCGUGCGAUUGGAUUGCACGUCUAAGCAGUAAGGCUGAGUAUUAGGCAAAUCCGGUACUCGUUAAGGCUGAGCUGUGAUGGGGAGAAGACAUUGUGUCUUCGAGUCGUUGAUUUCACACUGCCGAGAAAAGCCUCUAGAUAGAAAAUAGGUGCCCGUACCGCAAACCGACACAGGUAGUCAAGAUGAGAAUUCUAAGGUGAGCGAGCGAACUCUCGUUAAGGAACUCGGCAAAAUGACCCCGUAACUUCGGGAGAAGGGGUGCUCUUUAGGGUUAACGCCCAGAAGAGCCGCAGUGAAUAGGCCCAAGCGACUGUUUAUCAAAAACACAGGUCUCUGCUAAACCGUAAGGUGAUGUAUAGGGGCUGACGCCUGCCCGGUGCUGGAAGGUUAAGAGGAGUGGUUAGCUUCUGCGAAGCUACGAAUCGAAGCCCCAGUAAACGGCGGCCGUAACUAUAACGGUCCUAAGGUAGCGAAAUUCCUUGUCGGGUAAGUUCCGACCCGCACGAAAGGCGUAACGAUUUGGGCACUGUCUCAACGAGAGACUCGGUGAAAUCAUAGUACCUGUGAAGAUGCAGGUUACCCGCGACAGGACGGAAAGACCCCGUGGAGCUUUACUGUAGCCUGAUAUUGAAAUUCGGCACAGCUUGUACAGGAUAGGUAGGAGCCUUUGAAACGUGAGCGCUAGCUUACGUGGAGGCGCUGGUGGGAUACUACCCUAGCUGUGUUGG
rnacentral:rRNA from 1 species